rnacentral:rRNA from 1 species
UGGGGAAUCUUCCGCAAUGGGCGCAAGCCUGACGUAGCAACGCCGCGUGAGUGAAGAAGGUCUUCGGAUCGUAAAGCUCUGUUGAUGGGGACGAACGUGCCUAAUGCGAAUAGUAUUAGGUAAUGACGGUACCCAUCGAGGAAGCCACGGCUAACUACGUGCCAGCAGCCGCGGUAAUACGUAGGUGGCGAGCGUUGUCCGGAAUCAUUGGGCGUAAAGGGAGCGCAGGCGGGCAUGUAAGUCUUUCUUAAAAGUGCGGGGCUCAACCCCGUGAUGGCAAAGAAACUAUGUGUCUUGAGUACAGGAGAGGAAAGCGGAAUUCCCAGUGUAGCGGUGAAAUGCGUAGAUAUUGGGAGGAACACCAGUGGCGAAGGCGGCUUUCUGGACUGCAACUGACGCUGAGGCUCGAAAGCCAGGGGAGCGAACGGG